UACGUAGGGUGCAAGCGUUGUCCAGAAUUAUUGGGCGUAAAGAGCUCGUAGGCGGUUCGUCGCGUCGGCUGUGAAAUCCCGAGGCUCAACCUCGGGUCUGCAGUCGAUACGGGCGGACUGGAGUACUGCAGGGGAGACUGGAAUUCCUGGUGUAGCGGUGAAAUGCGCAGAUAUCAGGAGGAACACCGGUGGCGAAGGCGGGUCUCUGGGCAGUUACUGACGCUGAGGAGCGAAAGCGUGGGGAGCGAACAGG
rnacentral:rRNA from 1 species